rnacentral:rRNA from 1 species
AUUGAACGCUGGCGGCAUGGCUAAAACAUGCAAGUCGAGCGCGAAAGUGGAGCAAUCCAUGAGUAGAGCGGCGAAAGGGUGAGUAAUAGGUUUCUACGUGCCUUGAGGUCGAGGAUAGCCAGGGGAACUCUGGGUAAUACUCGAUGUGAUCGAGAGAUCAAAGGCUUGCCGCCUCAAGAGCGGGGAACCUCCUAUCAGGUAGUUGGUGAGGUAACGGCUCACCAA